UACGAAGGGGACUAGCGUUGUUCGGAAUUACUGGGCGUAAAGCGCGCGUAGGCGGAUCGCUAAGUCAGGGGUGAAAUCCCAGGGCUCAACCCUGGAACUGCCUUUGAUACUGACGAUCUGGAGAUCGGGAGAGGUUGGUGGAAUUCCGAGUGUAGAGGUGAAAUUCGUAGAUAUUCGGAGGAACACCAGAAGCGAAGGCGGCCAACUGGCCCGAUACUGACGCUGAGGCGCGAAAGCGUGGGGGAGCAAACAGG
rnacentral:rRNA from 1 species